AUUAAAAACCAAUGCCCUUCGGGGCUCUUUGGUGAUUCAGAAUAACUUCUCGAAUCGCAUGGCCUUGCGCCGGCGAUGGUUCAUUCAAAUUUCUGCCCUAUCAACUUUCGAUGGCAGGGUCUUGGCCUGCCAUGGUUAAGACGGGUAACGGAGGGUUAGGGCUCGACCCCGGAGAAGGAGCCUGAGAAACGGCUACUACAUCCAAGGAAGGCAGCAGGCGCGCAAAUUACCCAAUCCCGACUCGGGGAGGUAGUGACAAUAAAUACUGAUACAGGGCUCUUUUGGGUCUUGUAAUUGGAAUGAGUACAAUUUAAAUCCCUUAAUGAGGAACAAUUGGAGGGCAAGUCUGGUGCCAGCAGCCGCGGUAAUUCCAGCUCCAAUAGCGUAUAUUAAAGUUGUUGCAGUUAAAAAGCUCGUAGUUGAACCUUGGGCCUGGCUGGCCGGUCCGCCUCACCGCGUGCACUGGUUCGGCCGGGCCUUUCCCUCUGGGGAGCCGCAUGCCCUUCACUGGGUGUGUC
rnacentral:rRNA from 1 species